CGCAUACAAUGUUAUCUAAUGACUAUAAAUAGUCUUUUAUGGUUGAGCAGAGCAAGGAACUCACAAGAAGAUCCUCCAAGGGUAGCAGGUGCUGCUUGUGUGAGGGUUGCUGAUUGUGCAUUGCUCAGUGUUCUCAUCUGUUAUGAACAUUUGUCAUCUGCUGCUAUGAUCUCCAUCUUCCAGCUUAGUUAGUACGUACUGCUAAGCCCGCCGCUUCUGGAGAUGAAAAUGGCUUCUGGAGUGUUGUUGUCUUGUUAGUACAGCAAAGAAGGUCUAUGGGGAAGGUUACUGCAUGUGAGUGGCAUCAACCGGAACAGCCCCUCCAGGCUUGUGGGAUAUUGCUGACCUGCACUCUACACUCGUGCUAUUUGGGGUGAUCUGCCUGCUGGGAGAUAUGUGGACUAGUGAACUGGAUAAAUCAGCAUGUAAUUCUGUAGAUGAAAAAGGUUUCAGAUCUGCCUCCAAAAUUCCAGCUGCUCCUUCAGUUAAUCUCACUUCCCUUGCUGAUCCUGCCAGGAUACCUCAGGACAGUCCAAGGAUGUGCACAGGCAACUAUCUGAAUAAAGAGUUCAUAUUUCCAACUGCUUAACAUGAAUGAGGAAGAGAC
rnacentral:lncRNA from 1 species